rnacentral:rRNA from 1 species
CCUACGGGUGGCAGCAGUCGAGAAUCAUUCACAAUGGGGGAAACCCUGAUGGUGUGACGCCGCGUGGGGGAAUGAAGGUCUUCGGAUUGUAAACCCCUGUCAUGUGGGAGCAAAUUAAAAAGAUAGUACCACAAGAGGAAGAGACGGCUAACUCUGUGCCAGCAGCCGCGGUAAUACAGAGGUCUCAAGCGUUGUUCGGAAUCACUGGGCGUAAAGCGUGCGUAGGCUGUUUCGUAAGUCGUGUGUGAAAGGCGCGGGCUCAACCCGCGGACGGCACAUGAUACUGCGAGACUAGAGUAAGGGAGGGGGAACCGGAAUUCUCGGUGUAGCAGUGAAAUGCGUAGAUAUCGAGAGGAACACUCGUGGCGAAGGCGGGUUCCUGGACAUUAACUGACGCUGAGGCACGAAGGCCAGGGGAGCGAAAGGGAUUAGAUACCCGGGUAGUC